GGUUUCUCAGAUUCAGAGAGGGAAUCCUCUGGAGCCAGAAAUUCCUUGCCAUCCAAUGCCUCUUCACAUUUCUCAGAUUAUCACAAAUCUGUUGAAGCAGUAAAAACCAACAACAUUGCGGAGAGCAAAUGUGUUUGUAGUCUCUUUGCUGGUGAUAAACAAUCAAAUCCAGUGAACAUAUUGAUGUGCAAUGCAGUACAUCUCGAGCCUGAGAAAUGGAAGUCUCUUGAUUGAGUCCAUGUCAGUGGGUUGGAGAAUCCAGUCUGUGUUUUUGUCUAAAACUUAAAGGAAUUAUCUAAGAAUGCAACAUAUUGGAAGGAAGGAUUGCACCAAGACAAAAUUAUUGCUAUUGCUGAUAAUGAUGAUCAUGAUGAAAACAGCAUCAACAAUUCUUUCACUGGCACAUUGUGGACAAUUUUAAGACAGCAUUACUUGAAGUGCCAAGGCAAUCUUUCUCAUUAAGGAUGAUUACAUUUUUUGAAUA